rnacentral:snRNA from 1 species
AGAACUAACUUCAAUCCCCGCUUUUAGGAGAGUGGGUGCCUUUAGGAUUGGAGCGCUUGAACAGAGCGACUCCUCCUGCCGGCAAGCCCUCCAGUACCGUCAGAUACUUGACUGUGUAUGAAAUAUUUCAGUUUUGCUUUAAAUACUGGCAGCAAGAGCAAGUGCUCGGGGUUGGGGAUUUAGCUCAGUGGUAGAGCGCUUGCCUAGCAAGCGCAAGGCCCUGGGUUCGGUCCUCAGCUCUGGAAAAAAAAAAAAAAAAAAAAAGACAAAAUAACAAAAAGACCAAAAAAAAACAAGGUAACUAGCACACACAACCUUUUUCAUUUUCAAAGAUCCCCGAGGGCAUUUUC